UACGGAGGGUGCGAGCGUUGUCCGGAUUUAUUGGGUUUAAAGGGUGCGUAGGCGGCCGUUUAAGUCCGGGGUGAAAGCCCACUGCUCAACAGUGGAACUGCCCUGGAAACUGGAGAACUUGAGUACAGACGAGGGCGGCGGAAUGGAUGGUGUAGCGGUGAAAUGCAUAGAUACCAUCCAGAACCCCGAUUGCGAAGGCAGCUGCCUAGACUGUAACUGACGCUGAGGCACGAAAGCGUGGGGAGCAAACAGG
rnacentral:rRNA from 1 species